UACAAAUGUCAGGACUAGAAGUUCAUGCACCAAAAUACAGUGAGGCUGUCACUCAUUUCUUCGAAAAUAUUCCUCAAAAUCUCAAGGUGACGUACAAACUGGACUUUGAGAUAAGUGAGAUGAUUUUUAAUCAAAAUACGAGCAAUGCUUACGUCAUUCGCGAAGGCAAAUUCAACAUUCUAUUUGGUAGCGACCAGGAUGUUUGGCAUGUUAUAGAACGAUUCGGUUUUGAGUAUCUCUCCUACAAACUUCGCUUGUUCUCGGCAAUUGAGGAUCGGAUGAAUAUGGUCGUACAGAGAUGUGUCGAUUAUGGAAUAACCAACUAUUUGAUUGCAAAAAAUAGGCGCCUCUUAGCUGGCAUCAAGCCCAAAGAACAGACAAUUAUUUCAACGACUGUUGAAUCCCUUACAGUCAGUGACAUGGAAAACCCAUUUUUGUUGUACGCUUUAGGUGUUGUAUUGAGUGCAUUUGCAUGGAUUGCUGAAAGAAGUUAUUUUAAAACGAA